rnacentral:rRNA from 1 species
CCUACGGGGCGCAGCAGUGGGGGAUAUUGCACAAUGGGGGGAACCCUGAUGCAGCGACGCCGCGUGGGUGAAGGAGCGUUUCGGCGCGUAAAGCCCUAUCGGCAGGGAAGAAGAUGACGGUACCUGACCAAGAAGCCCCGGCUAACUCCGUGCCAGCAGCCGCGGUAAUACGUAGGGGGCAAGCGUUUUCCGGCUUUACUGGGUGUAAAGGGGGCGCAGCCGGCAAUGCAAGCCAGGAGCGAAAGCCCGGGCCCCAACCCCGGGCUGGCUC